rnacentral:rRNA from 1 species
UACAGAGGUCCCAAGCGUUGUUCGGAUUCACUGGGCGUAAAGGGUGCGUAGGCGGUCGGGUAAGUCUGAUGUGAAAAUCCCCACAGCUUAACUGUGAAACUGCAUUGGAUACUAUCCGGCUCGAGGAAUGGAGGGGAGACUGGAGUACUUGGUGUAGCAGUGAAAUGCGUAGAUAUCAAGUGGAACACCAGUGGCGAAGGCGAGUCUCUGGACAUUUCCUGACGCUGAGGCACGAAAGCCAGGGGAGCAAACGGG